rnacentral:rRNA from 1 species
UACAGAGGUCUCAAGCGUUGUUCGGAUUCAUUGGGCGUAAAGGGUGCGUAGGCGGCGCGGUAAGUCGGGUGUGAAAUCGCCCGGCUCAACUGGGCGGGGUCGGCGGAUACGGCCGAGCUGGAGCAAGCUAGGGGGUAAUGGAAUUCCCGGUGUAGUGGUGGAAUGCGUAGAUAUCGGGAGGAACACCAGUGGCGAAGGCGGUUACCUGGAGCUUUGCUGACGCUGAUGCGCGAAAGCGUGGGGAGCGAGCCGG